ensembl:lncRNA
AGUGACCAAGGGUGGAGGGAGGGAAGCUGUUGCUGGCCGCCACGUUGGCCCUGGUCUCCGAUCCGACUCUGAGAAAACAUUGUAAGAGUUGGAGAGAAGAGACUCGCUCACGGUCACUAAAAAUUGUGUUUGUGAACGCUAGAAAUGAGGAAGAGUGAGGGAAGCAGGGUACAAAAUAGCCUGUACCCUAUUGCAAUCGCUUAAACGAUGCUUUAAAAAAAAAAAUUACACCAUCUGCAUCAAAUAGCCCCAAAUUGGGAAUUGUCUGGAUUUGGGCUUUUGUUAAAGUUCUGAGACCUGUUUAAAACUAGUUAAAUCUUCGGUGGCUGGGACCCACACGCACUGAACUUGGAUUGUAGAGAUUUUUCCCGAGGUUUUUUUUUUUUUUUUUUUUUUUUUCGGUACGCGGGCCUCUCACUGUUGUGGCCUCUCCCGUUGCGGAGAACAGGCCCUGGACGCCAGGCUCAGCGGCCAUGGCUCACGGGCCCAGCUGCUCCGCAGCAUGUGGGAUCUUCCCGGACCGGGGCACGAACCUGUGUCCCCUGCAUCGGCAGGCGGACUUUCAACCACUGCGCCACCAGGGAAGCCCUCCCGAGGUUUUAAAAGUCGAAGAAAUGUGAGCGCAAAAGCCUGGAGACAGAAAGUGGAACUCCUCACAAGCAACAUUUCCGCGUUAAGCGAGACCUCUGCGGUGUAAAGAUGAAGUAAACUGUGAAAGGGGGAAAUGGAAGGUCAUUAGAAGAAGACAAUUUUCAGGAAACAACCUCUGAACAACAAAAAUCAAGCUGCAAUUUUUUUUUCCAAGCUGCAAUUUGAUGGAACAAAGUAAUUGCCAAUCCUGACUCCUGCGCCCCGCCCUUUCUCCAUUUGUCACUUGAAGAAAAUCACGUACUCAUUACAAAUUUAGUGGAACGCAUAAAAUUAUCACGUAUUACGGUAAAGCGUAAUCUUACUGGCUUUAUUUAGACAGGAGAGCAGCGUAGAUAACUUGCCGGAUACGGAUGCACAACUACUGUAGGGUAAAGUGAUGAGGAAUAUGCAUCCCCAGAAUCCCUAUGCUUGUUUGCCUUUCUUAAGCCGCUUCUCAAAAUGGCUUUGAAGAUGCUUUAAAACCAUUAAUACCUAGAUUCUUACAUGGGGUCAGGAUCACUAAGUACAAGGUAAGUAUUUCACUUGUGAGGGAGAAAUUUCUCACAGUAACUUGUGAAAUUUACAGCUGUUCGGUAUAUGUUUAACAGCACAUUUAAAUGUUAAGCAAAACCUAGGGAAUCCCAGUCCUUGGAGUAUAACAGUUAAUCGAAGUCGUUGUGCUAAACACUGUACAUAAGUUCUCACUUAAUCCUAACAGCAAUCUAAAUAUGGGCAUUAGCCGUGUUCUGCUAUUACAGGUCAAAGUUGCAGUUUGUGCAGACAGCAAUUUAGAGUAUUUAAUUUCUUUAGGCGAAAUCCUCACAGUAAAAUUACAGGGUAAAAGCCAAUGAAAAAAUCCUGUACAUGUUGCCAAAAUUGCUUUCCAAAAUGGUUUUAAAUUUAGCAAAGCCCACAAACAGCCGAUUACUGGUUCAGGAUAUAUCCAAAGUUUCAUUAAUGAAGUUAGCCAUUUUAGCGCGUCUGUUAGUGCAUGCUAUGGGCUGUUUGAAGGGCUGUGCCCCCCCCAAUAUACUCAUGUGUUUAAGUCCUAACUUCCACUCUCUCAGAAUGUGACUGUAUUUGUAGUGUGGACUGAAAAAAAUGCACAAUGUGAGAGUAGUGAGGUAAGUUUUAUUUGGGGCAAAAUGCCUGGGGAGAUAGCCUCUCAGCUCUGAGGAACUGCUCCCAAGAGGUAGGGGAAGAAGUUAGUGUUAUAUAUGAUUUUAGUGAAGGGGGAUAUGUGCAGUCAAGCACACCUUUUGUCAGAGGGUUGCUGCUAGUCACGAGGAGCAGGUAGGUGUCUCCAUUAAUGAUUUUAGUGCUUUUCUAGAUAUGAGAAAAUGCAAGAAAUUGGGCUCAUAAAAUCUUCUCCUGAAAAUAUCUAUCUGAAGGCCUGUUCUGCCUGUUUUCCCCAAAGCACAGGGUGCCUCAUUCCUGAUCUCCACUCUGAACUCCUUUAAAGGUGUGUUGAAAGUCAGUGACUGCAGUGGCUAGUGACUUCACUCUUAUACACUAGAGCCAGAUGGUAAGCGACAAUUUUUAGUUGGCAGUAAAUAGGGUCUUUACAGAGGUAAUACGAUUAAAUGAGGUCAUUAGGGAGGGGCCUAAUCCACUUUAGUUGGUGUCUUUAUAAAGAGAUUGGGAAACACACACCCAGAGGAAAGAUGACGUGAAGACAGGAGAUGGUCAUCUACAUGCCAAGGAGAAAGGCCUCAGAGUAAACAACCCUGCCCACACCGUGAUCUCCCAACUUGUCUCCAGAACCGUGAGAAACUUUUCUGUUGUAUAAACCACCCAGUCUCUGGUACUUUGUUUUGGCGGCUCUAACUAAAUUAGUGCAUAACAUUAAAAAUUUGUUAUUUUGGUGGAUACUGAACUUGUAAUUUUAUUUUCUAUUUAGUGAAGUUGCACAUUUUCUCUUGUGACUUGUCCAUUCAUACCUUAUUGCUUUUCUGUACAGUUCUCUUUUGUCCUAUUUUCGUGCAGUUAAACCUAUUCCAUCUUUACCUCUGUCAAGUUUGUAAACUGAGAAAUUCCUUUCUUCUUCAGAGGAAUUCUUUGAAAUGUUUUAAAUUUUUCUUCUGUUUUCUUUAAAAAGGCAACUCUUUUAUCCAUCUGGAAUUUUGGUAUAUCAUGUGAGGUGAAAUUCUUUUGCUUUUUUUUCCUCCAUGUCAUUUACUGUGUUAUCCUAACACAAUUUAUGGAAUACCUUUUUUUUUGGCUGCACGGUGCAGCACAGGGGAUCUUAGUUCCCUGGCCAGGGUUCAAACUCGUGCCCCCUGCAGUGGAGGCACAGAGUCUUAACCACCACCAGGGAAGUCCCCUCUUCUCUUUUUAAAGUGAUUUUUGGAUACUGCUUUAAAUAAACUAUGUAUACACUACUGUUUACACUCUAUUAUUCUAGUCUUAUCCCUCACACGUCACAGUUUUAAUAUUGAUAUUUGCAGCUUUAUAAAGAUUGGGAUUAAUUCCUUUUUCAUUAUAUUUAAAAAAUUUUCCAUUAUCAUGUAUUCUUCUAGAUUUGCUUUAUAAUUAUUAUAUGGAGUAUCACUACCUGAACCACAAUUGGUACAAAUUGAAUUUAAAGAACCACCAAUCCAUUAGUGAAAUAGUAACUAAUCUAUCCACUUUACUAAACUGAUUAAAAGUUGAGUCCUUUGUAUUAAAAUUUAUCUAUUUACAUGUCUCUUAGGUCCUUAGACUGUGCUCCCAUGGAGUAGACAGUGUCCGAUGUCCUUUGUAGCCAAACCUGGAAGAAGCUCAAUAAAUUACUUACUAGUUUUAGUUGUUCAAACAACAAAAAUACAUGUCUUCAGAAAUACCCACCAUAGAGAUUAAGAAUGUGUUGCUAAAUGGAUUUGGAAAUUUCCAAGUUCAACCAAGGUAUGAAUUACAACUCUUCAAUUUGCCAUUAACCAAAAGGUCUGCAAGCCUUCUACUCAAGAGCUCCAAACGAGGAUCUAACAGGACUCAAGAAUUCUAAUGAAUUCAGGUACAAUUCAAGAAUGGUGGCUGCAGCAAAAAUAGCCAUGAAGUCUUCCUUCCCCUGAGAGCAAGGGAGACAAAGGGAGCAGCGAACAGGCAGAGAAGCAGCACAGCCGGCCCUGAGAGUUAAUCAUGUUGCGAUGUAAAUAGAAGUGAGUUUUCUUUCUCCUUCUGAGAGCAAGGGAAUAAAAGGGAGCAUCGAGCAGGCGAAAGAAGCAGCACAGCUGGCCCUGAGAAUUAAUCACUCCUUGUUUAACUGUCACUAAUUUGUAGUAAGUGGAUUUGUACUUUACAAAGCGAACCUCACUCCCUGACACUAGGUAAUUUACCUUUGGCACCCAUCACCCCUGACUCUGUGUGUUACAUACCCCACCUCUCACUCCCGGCACUUACAUUCUACACGCCCCUCGUAACAAAUCACCCCCUAUAGUUUUUGAAUUUCAGAGACAAGGUCACAGGCCGAUAAACGAGAGGCAAAUGGAUGCGGUUACCAGACUGCCAGACUCCAAUUACCAGGAAGCCUGACGCCAGCUAUGACUGUUUUGAAAUAAUGCAAAGGAAAGGAAGCAUGCAAGACCUUCACUACUUUGAUCUUUACCAUAUACCCCGGGGCCGUGAGCCCCACAUCUAAAAUCUCCCGAUUCCCAGGGAGGGGGGGCACAGUUGAGGCGCUAGCUUUCUGUCUUCCCUUCUGCCUAGCAGAAAAAUAAAGCCAUCUCUCUCUUCCUCC